UGGGGAAUAUUGGACAAUGGGCGCAAGCCUGAUCCAGCAAUGCCGCGUGUGUGAAGAAGGCCUGCGGGUUGUAAAGCACUUUUAGUGGGGAGGAAGGGGAUGCUUCGAAUAGAGGUGUUCAUUGACGCUACCCACAGAAAAAGCACCGGCUAACUCUGUGCCAGCAGCCGCGGUAAUACAGAGGGUGCAAGCGUUAAUCGGAAUCACUGGGCGUAAAGAGUGCGUAGGUGGUUAGAAAAGUUGAGUGUGAAAUCCCCGGGCUCAACCUGGGAAUUGCGCUCAAAACUGUCUAGCUAGAGUAUGGUAGGGGGAAGUGGAAUUUCCGGUGUAGCGGUGAAAUGCGUAGAUAUCGGAAGGAACAUCAGUGGCGAAGGCGACUUCCUGGACUAAUACUGACACU
rnacentral:rRNA from 1 species